rnacentral:tRNA from 1 species
GCCUGGCUGGCUCAGUGGGAAGAGCGUGAGACUUUCGAUCUCUGGGUCGUGAGUUGGAGCCCCACGUUGGGUG